rnacentral:rRNA from 1 species
UAUGCAAGUCGAGCGGAAAGGCCUUCGGGGUACUCGAGCGGCGAACGGGUGAGUAACACGUGAGCAACCUGCCCUAGGCUUUGGGAUAACCCCGGGAAACCGGGGCUAAUACCGAAUAGGACCUCUGACCGCAUGGUUGGUGGUGGAAAGUUUUUCGGCCUGGGAUGGGCUCGCGGCCUAUCAGCUUGUUGGUGGGGUGAUGGCCUACCAAGGCGACGACGGGUAGCCGGCCUGAGAGGGCGACCGGCCACACUGGGACUGAGACACGGCCCAACUCCUACGGGAGGCAGCAGUGGGGAAUAUUGCACAAUGGGCGGAAGCCUGAUGCAGCGACGCCGCGUGAGGGAUGACGGCCUUCGGGUUGUAAACCUCUUUCAGCAGGGACGAAGCGUAAGUGACGGUACCUGCAGAAGAAGCGCCGGCCAACUACGUGCCAGCAGCCGCGGUAAGACGUAGGGCGCGAGCGUUGUCCGGAUUUAUUGGGCGUAAAGAGCUCGUAGGCGGCUUGUCGCGUCGACUGUGAAAACCCGCAGCUCAACUGCGGGCCUGCAGUCGAUACGGGCAGGCUAGAGUUCGGUAGGGGAGACUGGAAUUCCUGGUGUAGCGGUGAAAUGCGCAGAUAUCAGGAGGAACACCGGUGGCAAGCGGGUCUCUGGGCCGAUACUGACGCUGAGGAGCGAAAGCGUGGGGAGCGAACAGGAUUAAUACCCUGGUAGUCCACGCUGUAAACGUUGGGCGCUAGGUGUGGGGGGCCUCUCCGGUUCCUGUGCCGCACUAACGAUUAGCCCCGCCGGGAUACCGCAGGCUAAAAUCAAGGAUGACGGGGGCCCGCCGGAUGAUUUCGCCAAUACUUUCAUGCGCAACAGGCCUGGGGGGGG